rnacentral:rRNA from 1 species
GACGAACGCUGGCGGCGUGCAUAACACAUGCAAGUCGAACGAAGUGGCGAACGGGUGAGUAACACGUGAGUAACCUGCCUUACACAAGGGGAUAGCCUUUGGAAACGAAGAAUAAUACCCUAUAGUGUAAGAUGGACUUGCGUCUGAUUAGCUAGUUGGUGAGGUAAAAGCCCACCAAGGCGACGGUCAGUAGCCGGCUUGAUAGGGUGUACGGCCCCAUUGGGACUGAGGCCCGGCCCAAACUCCUACGGGAGGCAGGCGUGGGGAAUUUUGCACAAUGGGGGAAACCCUGAUGCCGCGAAGCCGGGUGGGUGAUGACGGCCUUCGGGUUGUAAAGCUCUGUUAAUCGGGACGCGGUACCGGAAUAGAAAGCCACGGCUAACUACGUGCCAGCAGCCGCGGUAAUAC